GUGUGUGUGUGUGUGUGUGUGUGUUUGGCAAAGCAACCAUUGGGAGCCAGAGGAGGAAGAUAAUAGUAGGGCGAAGGAGUCCAGGAAGAGAGAGGAGAGGAGCGGUCAGGACUGGACAGUGUUUGCCUGGUGACUAUCCUCAGCUUCCUUGGAUCUCUUCUCUGCUUUCUUCCCUCUCUCUUUUCACAGCAUUGUUGAUAAAGACACCAAGAACAGAGUAGCUACAGUAAGCAGCUGAUGGGGAAACAGGAUGCAGAAGCCAGGCUGCAUCGGCACAGUUUAUCGUGAGAGCACCUGCGGUUACCCAUCCAAGCUGCCCACUGUCUGCUCCCCUUGCCCCUCUCGAGUUGCCUCACCUCACCGCAUAUAUUUCCCUCAAGACCCAGACUUUUGUUGCAAUGAACAAAAUGUUGACCAAGAGGCUUUUCAAAAGAACCAGUCUCAGCAUGCAGCCAUGUGGGCUAACCAGGGAACCAGAAAUUCUGUCCACACCCUCAGCAAAUUUCCCUCACCGUAACAUACACUGCAAAACAGGAGGGAAAGGGGAACUUGCAACUGAUGAGUCCUUCUUCCUUUUUCUA